rnacentral:ribozyme from 11 species
GAAAUUCACGAAGAGAGAGAGAAAGAAAAAAAUCAAGGAAAAAAGGGAACUAACGGAAAGAAGAAAAGAGACAGAUCUCUCGAUCUGCCUUAAUUCCUUUCCCGUCUUCCCACCCCUCCUCUCUUCAUUCUCCUCU